UAAAGAUUCAUCGCUGAUAGAUAGGCAUGCGUUCCAUUAGGCAGUUGGCGGGGUAACGGCCCACCAAACCGACGAUGGAUAGGGGUUCUGAGAGGAAGGUCCCCCACAUUGGUACUGAGACACGGACCAAACUCCUACGGGAGGCAGCAGUGAGGAAUAUUGGUCAAUGGGCGUAAGCCUGAACCAGCCAAGUCGCGUGAGGGAUGAAGGUUCUAUGGAUCGUAAACCUCUUUUAUAAGGGAAUAAAGUGUGGGACGUGUCCUAUUUUGUACGUACCUUAUGAAUAAGGAUCGGCUAACUCCGUGCCAGCAGCCGCGGUAAUACGGAGGAUCCGAGCGUUAUCCGGAUUUAUUGGGUUUAAAGGGUGCGUAGGCGGCCUUUUAAGUCAGCGGUGAAAGUCUGUGGCUCAACCAUAGAAUUGCCGUUGAAACUGGGAGGCUUGAGUAUGUUUGAGGCAGGCGGAAUGCGUGGUGUAGCGGUGAAAUGCUUAGAUAUCACGCAGAACCCCGAUUGCGAAGGCAGCCUGCCAAGCCAUGACUGACGCUGAUGCACGAAAGCGUGGGGAUCAAACAGGAUUAGAUACCCUGGUAGUCCACGCAGUAAACGAUGAUCACUAGCUGUUUGCGAUACAGUGUAA
rnacentral:rRNA from 1 species